GACGAACGCUGGCGGCGUGCUUAACACAUGCAAGUCGAACGGAAAGGCCCUGCUUUUGUGGGGUGCUCGAGUGGCGAACGGGUGAGUAACACGUGAGUAACCUGCCCUUGACUUUGGGAUAACUUCAGGAAACUGGGGCUAAUACCGGAUAGGAGCUCCUGCUGCACGGUGGGGGUUGGAAAGUUUCGGCGGUUGGGGAUGGACUCGCGGCUUAUCAGCUUGUUGGUGGGGUAGUGGCUUACCAAGGCUUUGACGGGUAGCCGGCCUGAGAGGGUGACCGGCCACAUUGGGACUGCGAUACGGCCCAGACUCCUACGGGAGGCAGCAGUGGGGAAUAUUGCGCAAUGGGCGGAAGCCUGAUGCAGCAACGCCGCGUGCGGGAUGACGGCCUUCGGGUUGUAAACCGCUUUCGCCUGUGACGAAGCGUGAGUGACGGUAAUGGGUAAAGAAGCACCGGCUAACUACGUG
rnacentral:rRNA from 1 species